rnacentral:rRNA from 1 species
AUUGAACGCUGGCGGCAUGCCUUACACAUGCAAGUCGAACGGUAGAGGGGCAACCCUUGAGAGUGGCGAACGGGUGAGUAAUGCAUCGGAACGUGCCCAGUCGUGGGGGAUAACACUUCGAAAGAAGUGCUAAUACCGCAUACGACCUGAGGGUGAAAGCGGGGGACCGAAAGGCCUCGCGCGAUUGGAGCGGCCGAUGUCAGAUUAGGUAGUUGGUGGGGUAAAAGCUCACCAAGCCAACGAUCUGUAGCUGGUCUGAGAGGACGACCAGCCACACUGGGACUGAGACACGGCCCAGACUCCUACGGGAGGCAGCAGUGGGGAAUUUUGGACAAUGGGCGCAAGCCUGAUCCAGCCAUGCCGCGUGGGUGAAGAAGGCCU